GACAGGUGGUGCAUGGUUGUCGUCAGCUCGUGUCGUGAGAUGUUGGGUUAAGUCCCGCAACGAGCGCAACCCUUAAGCUUAGUUGCCAUCAUUAAGUUGGGCACUCUAAGUUGACUGCCGGUGACAAACCGGAGGAAGGUGGGGAUGACGUCAAAUCAUCAUGCCCCUUAUGAUUUGGGCUACACACGUGCUACAAUGGACAAUACAAAGGGCAGCGAAACCGCGAGGUCAAGCAAAUCCCAUAAAGU
rnacentral:rRNA from 1 species